CAUACGCUAUGACUGGACCGUCGCUUUACAGGCAGGUAAACGAACUAUCACGUGGGAUUCAGACUUUGAUUCUGGAUCAGGACGAACGCUGGCGGCGGCGCCUAACACAUGCAAGUCGAACGAGCGAGAGAGAGCUUGCUUUUCUUGAGCGAGUGGCGAACGGGUGAGUAACGCGUGAGGAACCUGCCUCAAAGAGGGGGACAACAGUUGGAAACGACUGCUAAUACCGCAUAAGCCCACGGUGCCGCAUGGCACAGAGGGAAAAGGAGCAAUCCGCUUUGAGAUGGCCUCGCGUCCGAUUAGCUAGUUGGUGAGGUAACGGCCCACCAAGGCAACGAUCGGUAGCCGGACUGAGAGGUUGAACGGCCACAUUGGGACUGAGACACGGCCCAGACUCCUACGGGAGGCAGCAGUGGGGAAUAUUGCACAAUGGGGGAAACCCUGAUGCAGCGACGCCGCGUGGAGGAAGAAGGUCUUCGGAUUGUAAACUCCUGUUGUUGGGGAAGAUAAUGACGGUACCCAACAAGGAAGUGACGGCUAACUACGUGCCAGCAGCCGCGGUAAAACGUAGGUCACAAGCGUUGUCCGGAAUUACUGGGUGUAAAGGGAGCGCAGGCGGGAAGACAAGUUGGAAGUGAAAUCUAUGGGCUCAACCCAUAAACUGCUUUCAAAACUGUUUUUCUUGAGUAGUGCAGAGGUAGAUGGAAUUCCCGGUGUAGCGGUGGAAUGCGUAGAUAUCGGGAGGAACACCAGUGGCGAAGGCGGUCUACUGGGCACCAACUGACGCUGAGGCUCGAAAGCAUGGGUAGCAAACGGGAUUAGAUACCCUGGUAGUCCAUGCCGUAAACGAUGAUUACUAGGUGGUUUGGGGGGGAUUGACCCCCUCAGUGCCGCAGUUA
rnacentral:rRNA from 1 species